AUAUGCAUACAACAUAGAGUUAAUGCAAUAGAUUCAAUUAGAACUCCAUAGUUAAGCACGCUUAGGCUAGAGUAGUACUGGGAUGGGUGACUUCCCGGGAAGUCCUAGUGUUUUACAUGUC
rnacentral:rRNA from 1 species